rnacentral:rRNA from 1 species
GAUGAACGCUGGCGGCGUGCCUAAUACAUGCAAGUCGAGCGAACAGACGAGGAGCUUGCUCCUCUGACGUUAGCGGCGGACGGGUGAGUAACACGUGGAUAACCUACCUAUAAGACUGGGAUAACUUCGGGAAACCGGAGCUAAUACCGGAUAAUAUAUUGAACCGCAUGGUUCAAUAGUGAAAGACGGUUUUGCUGUCACUUAUAGAUGGAUCCGCGCCGCAUUAGCUAGUUGGUAAGGUAACGGCUUACCAAGGCAACGAUGCGUAGCCGACCUGAGAGGGUGAUCGGCCACACUGGAACUGAGACACGUUCCAGACUCCUACGGGAGGCAGCAGUAGGGAAUCUUCCGCAAUGGGCGAAAGCCUGACGGAGCAACGCCGCGUGAGUGAUGAAGGUCUUCGGAUCGUAAAACUCUGUUAUUAGGGAAGAACAAAUGUGUAAGUAACGAUGCACGUCUUGACGGUACCUAAUCAGAAAGCCACGGCUAACUACGU